UUAGGGUAACCUUGCAAGCAGAGAUUCUUGAAGUUAAGUGCGUGAAAUUCAGCCAAGUUGCUUUCCAGAAAAGCAAGAUCCUCCAAGGAGUCAAUUUCCUUCCAACCAGAUGGAUUUCACAGAUGUACCUUUGCCAGGAACACUGCCCCUCCUGUCUGACAUGGCUGCCUCAUCUCGUCUCUCAGCCCUCUCACCGUCAUCAUUGAGCAUUUGCCGAUUGAUAACUGAACCUAAUGAAAAUUUGGUAGAGAAUGAACCUGGGAUGUUACGGUAAGGAAGGAACUACCAGAUGUGAUACCAUUCUUGCUGAAUCUUGUAGAUUUCUGGGAUGG